rnacentral:rRNA from 1 species
AGUGAACGCUGGCGGUAGGCCUAACACAUGCAAGUCGAACGGCAGCACAGUAAGAGCUUGCUCUUACGGGUGGCGAGUGGCGGACGGGUGAGGAAUACAUCGGAAUCUACUUUUUCGUGGGGGAUAACGUAGGGAAACUUACGCUAAUACCGCAUACGACCUACGGGUGAAAGCAGGGGAUCUUCGGACCUUGCGCGAUUGAAUGAGCCGAUGUCGGAUUAGCUAGUUGGCGGGGUAAAGGCCCACCAAGGCGACGAUCCGUAGCUGGUCUGAGAGGAUGAUCGGCCACACUGGAACUGAGACACGGUCCAGACUCCUACGGGAGGCAGCAGUAGGGAAUCUUGCACAAUGGGCGAAAGCCUGACCCAGCCUUGCCGCGUGAGUGAAGAAGGCCUUCGGGUCGUAAAGCCCUUUUAUUGGGAAAGAAAAAAAGUGUAUUAAUCCCCCCAUGUUUUGACGGUACCCAAAGAAAAAGCCCCGGCUAACUUCGUG